UGCAACCUGAGCUCAGGCGUGAUUACCCGCUGAACUUAAGCAUAUCUAUCUCUGAGCGGAGGAAAAGAAACUAA
rnacentral:rRNA from 1 species